rnacentral:lncRNA from 1 species
AUAAGCCCUAAGCUCUAGUGAGAUAUUUAAACGUUGAAAAACAAAGUGGUUUGGGACACCAAGCAGUCCUAAAAUGUAAAAAUUCAGAGCAGAAAUCCUUUUAAAUGCUCGAAUUUGGUGAAAAUAACUCAAAUUUGCGCCUGCACUUACUCUACACAAGAUGAACAAAAAGUCCAAAGAAAAAACUCAGAAAAAGUUUGCGGAAAUUGAGAUCCGAAAUGUUGAAUUUGCAGGAGGUUCUGAGGAACGUGCCACAGUGGUGAAUAUCGUUAACGAAGGUGCAAAUUUUAAUGGUGAAGGUAAUGGCUCUCACUACGAAAACUGUCAUAUUGAUAUGAAGUCGGAUUUUAAGUCAUCACCCUCUUCUAUGGAGGUGCAAAGGUUCCCAAGUUGAAGCAAUAGAUUUAUCGGAAUCUGUGUGCAUGGGUGGCUUACAUAAUACAUGGUUGAUCUUAGAUAAUUUCUGUGCAUGCUUCAUCUUACAUAAUUUGAUAUUAAAUUCUGUUUAGGCUAAGACCUGAUUUUAUAUAUAUUUGGGAAACUUAUAGCACAAUAUAUAUUUUAUAGUUUCUAAUUUGAUGAAUAAGGAAUGGGACCUGACCAAAGAAUAUAUAUAUAUAUAUAUAUAUAUAUAUAUAUAUCACUAAAAAAAAUGGCUCAAAAGUAUAUGCGAAUGAGAAAAAAUCGAUGCCUAAAUGUUGGAUAUCUAUCUCCCAUCCAUCAGGCGAAAAAUCCGUGAAAGCAACAUUUUUGUCGGUCAGCGCAUGCGACGCACGGGCCUAUCCGACAAAAAUAUCGUCGACUACAUCGACGUAAAAGCGACACAAUAUUAUCGGCUUAUGCGUGGGUCAAACCGACGCAAAUGUAUAAAAACGCAUAUGCAUCGGUUUGGUUGACGAAGAGAAAAAAAAUUGACAUCAGAUUAUGCGUCGACCUGGCCAACGUAAAGGUCGACGCAUAACUUAAUACUUAAAAAAAAAUAAAAGUUUGUCUGGGCUUGGCCGACGCAUAAAUGGCAGCAGAAAAAAUAUAUUUAUUUUUUGUUGCAGCCAUUUUUACCUUAUAACAUAACAAAUACCAAACCAAUCAAGUUCAGAAUUGAACAUAACAAAAUGGUAUCAUUUACACCACAUUCACAAUACAAAAAUCAUUCAAAUAGUUAAACAAAAUCAUUUAGAUAAUUUCAUCCAUCCAAAUAUUCAAAGUGUAUGAAUACGUAAAACACAAGUUAGAAUUAAAAUUGUACUUUAAAAAUUAACUAAAAGUACUAAAACUUAAAAUAUUGGAUAAUCCAAUUACAUAAAAAGAGUGCAAAUGAUAAUAUAAAAUGGAUCUCAUGAAAUAGAAAAAGUAGUGAUGUGAUAUGUGAAAAUCUGUAAAAAAAAAAAUACAAACAAUGUGAAUAAAUAAAUGUAAAUAACUAAAAUAUUAAUAAAAAUGUGAAAUAAUAAAACUUACAGUCUAGAAUGCAUUUUAAGGAACAUGUUGAUCAUUGUACCUUGAAUCAUACUCUGAUCGAAUUGAGUUAUGUUAGUGGAAGCAUGGUCACGUUCCAACGAGCUUUAUACACCCUAUAUUAUAGACAAGCUUCUGCCUAUACUUUUUACUUUAUACAGCCCUUAUUUAAUUUAUACACCACCACAUCACUAUUUGUAAUUUUCUGGCUUAAUUGCAGCCCAUAUUAUUUACUCUUUGCAGCCUUUAUUCAAUUUCUACGCCUCCCACGUCACUAAAAAAAUUCUUCAAAAAGUUGGCCCAAUGCUGCCCAUAUUUUUUCCAUUAUGCAGAACCUAUUUAUUUUGUAUACACAUCACCUUUUAAUUUUUUUUUAAAUAAUCAAUGGAAAAAAAUAAAUAAAAAAACUUCUAAAUUUAUAUUAUUACAAGAUAUUCGAUGAAAAAUAUUAAAAACGUAAUUUACUAAAUUAUUUUUAAACGAGAAUAAUUUUUUUCCAAAAUAAAUUAUGACUUCUUUUAUUAAUUCCCUAUUCUUCUAUUAAUUACGUAUCGUUUUAUUAAUUACCUCUCUAAAAUUUGCAACCAUAUUCUAUCAAUUAUUAAACUCAAACUUUAAUUCUCAUUUUUAUUACAAAACAAUAUUAACAACAGUGCACCUAAAUUUUGAUAUUUUACUUAGAAAUUAGAUCUGGUAUAUCAUUAAAAAUAAAAAAAAUACAUAUUUAAAAAAUUUGAGGUAACCUAUGCAUAAUAAUGAAAGAGAUAUUUUGGUAGGGCAAGGUUAUCAAAUCUUUUACAUUUGCUUAAUUAUUAAGUUUAUCUUAGAUUUUAAAAUAUUUUUAAUACGUUCAUAUUGAAUUAACUUGUUUGGAAAUUUUGGAAUUUUAAUCUCAUACACAUAUAUGAUAUAUGAUGACUAACACAUUAGGAAUUUAAGUUUUAGUUAAGUUAAAAUGUGUGUCAUUCACACAACAACGAAGCAGUAACUCCAAAAAAAUUAAUAAAAAAAAUUCUGAAAUUUGAAGACUUUACUUCCGACAUUAGGGUAGCAACAAUGAAGGAAGUUGAAGUUGACCAAUCGUGGAGCAAGAGGUGGAGCUCAACAGCGACGGUGAAGACUGGAGUUGAAAUGAAGAAGAGAAAAAAUAGCUUUGAAGAUUCCCAUAAUUAUCAAUGCUUACUUCAUUUCAGUGUCAUUUUCAACACACUAGCCUUAGCAAAGUUUUUUGGAUGGUUAUCCUUACGAGAUUUCAAUGGUUUUCUAGGACCAGUGAGGGUAUCAUAUCUUUAACUCCUACUAUUUCACACUUUCUUGUUUUUUCCACCAGUACUUGGAUACAAAUUUUGAAUGCAUGUGUUGAUUAUAACUUCAUUCUCUUUCAAACUUCCAUUUCUAUAUUUUCUUGUCUAACUACUUUAUUAACAGGCCUAUGCCACUGAACUUUUUAGAGAAGAACACCAAGCUCUAGGACUGUCAACUGUAAGCAUCACUAACACCAAGCUCUAGGACUGUCAACUGUAAGCAUCACUAGCCAGUAGAGAAGUACCCAAAUAUUUUUCCAAAGAAUUCCUUUUGGGAUAAGUAAGUGGACUUUCAUAUUCAAUUUCUGUUUAAAUUGCUUUAUCAUUUGGACCUAUUUAGAUAAACUUCUCCACAAAAUUAGUUUAUGCCUGAAUCAUUUUUAUAGAAGCUAGUACACGAAAACUUUUACAAAUUAGAUUAAGAAUAAUCUAAUUUUUGCUUACUUAUUAUGUUUGUCUUUCUUAUUUUAUCUUCCUGUAAGAACUUAUGAAGAACUUUAUCCAAAUAAAAUCUUAAUGAUGUGCUGAUUUUUAUUUUCCAAACAUAAAUCAUUUUGUAGGUUUCCAUACUUCUUGCCCAACCUCAUAACAUCAGUAUUUGCACUUGUAGUAGCAAUUGGCUGCAUCUGGAUUCCAGUAUGUAUCUUAGGCUCUGAAAAAUCUGUUCAUUGACUGCAAUUUUAUUUUAUCUCCUUCCUAUUUCGUUGGUGUUACUCUAAAAACUUUUAUGAUGACAUUUUAUAAUGAAAAAUUAUUUUAGCAUAUGAUCCUCUUAUAUCAUACGGUUAGUAGUUGAUAUUUGUUUGGAUUUAGAGAGCAACAAGCUUCAUGGAUGUGCUUGGGAAACAAAGACUCAAUACAUUCUGAAUUUUUCCUUUGUUUUCUCAAAAACUUCUUCAGCAAUGUUAGCCUCUUUGCCAUCAACCCUUUUAAUUUCCAGUUGUGCUUUCUGAUAGAAUCCAAUACCUCUUAAUGCAUCUGAAAUGAAUUCAUCAAAUUCAAUAGAAACUCUUUUUUAGUAGUCUGAUGUGCUUGUUUAAUCACCAUUACGUGGAAAUUAAUAUUGUAUUUGUUUGUUUGAUUAAAAGUUGAUUUUGUUAGCUGAAUUUCCCUCCAUGUCCAGUAGGCAGACAACAUAAUUUUGUUUUGUGUUAUAAUAAUCACUUUUGACUUUGAAACACCAAAAUCUCCUCUCCUGUUGUUCCUGAGUACCCUAACCCUAUGGACUACACUCACUAGACACGUUUAAACCUAGGAUUUUUUUUCUGUUGGCUUUGUAAGUGUGGCAUAGUGAUUGUUUUCUUGGACAAAGUUUUUCUCUUCCUCUGUCUUGACCAUUAUUUAUUGGUUUAGGCUAGUUAGAAUAUAAGCACCUGACCAAGCCACCAUAUUUUGAUGCAUCCAAGUAGUGCCACUUUAAGCACACCCUCAAUUUAGUAUUAUAAGCAAUCAAUAAGUGGCCAUCUCUAACCUUAACCCCAUCAAUACCUAGUAAACAAGGUAAGAAAGAUGUGUCAUUAAUGCACCACAACAUAGACAAGUAGCAAAAGAAUGAAGGGAUACUAAGGGUGUAGUAAAAAACUUCAAAUGUGAAGUUAUCCAUGAUCAACUUAGUUCUUACUGUCCAGUUAAAACUAUUGUCAUAAUUAUGCAACAGAAAAUUGGAAGCAAUAUAGUUCAGAAAAAGACUAAAGACCAAGUUGGUAGUUACACAUAACUUGAAAAGCUCUGUACAGAUAAAUUCUAUAACUCAAAAGUGGAGGCUAUGUAUAAAGUCUUAACUAUUGUUUUUUAUUUAUCUGUGUAGUUAAAUUAAAGGAAAAAAAAAGGAGAGAAGAGCAAUGGGUGCGAGGGAGAUUAAGAAGAUGAUGAACUGUAGAGUGGUGUUCGCAGUCGAAGAUGGGCAGUGUCUACUAAUUUUGUUAUGCUCUUCAUGUUAUAAAUUUUGAGAUUAAUGUUUACUCUAUUACAGGUUAUUUUUGUCCUGCUUUGUCAAAGGCUGUUAAAACCAUGAAGAAGGGAGAGAAAGUGAUUUUAAGUGUGAAGCCUCAAUGUAAGUUGUCUGCUGAUGAAUUUAAGUGUAAAUGCUUGUAAUUCUUAAAGUGCAUGAUAACCUUGUCAUUUUAUGGAUUUAAAACAUGGUUUUGAUGUUUCCUUACCUGUUUUUGCAUUCUUGUAGUGAAAGUAAUUGGUAAGCUGCAAGAUGGUACUUUGUUUUAGAAGAAGGGUCAUGAUGAUGAAGGGGAGCGUUUGAAUUCAAAACUGAUAAGGGUAACUUGAAGAAAUGUCUCAAUGUUUUUCCCGAUUCCCACUAGAUUAUUUAUUAAGCUAGCUAAUGUGAGUGUUUUAUGGAUUGAGCAGAACAAGUAAUUGAUGGGUUUGACAAAGCUAUUUUGAUUAUGAAGAAGGGUGUGGUGACAUUGUUAACUAUUGCGCCUGAGUAUGGUUUUGGCUCAUCAGAGUCUCAACAGGACUUGUUGUGGUUCCUUCUAACUCCACUUUGUAUUAUGAGGUUGAGCCACUACAAAAAAACGUGUAUAAUGCGGCGGUUAUUUUCGUAAAAAGUGGCGUUUUUAACCGCCGCAUAUUAUACGGUACCGCCAGAAUUCUUGUCGCCACAAAGUUUAAUGUGGCGGUCAAUUAAGAACCGUUGUAGCAGACGCCAUAUUAUGUAUUGUAUAAAGUGGCGGUUUUAAGCGUGUAAUUGACGUCAGUUAUAAAUGUCGUAAUUUUAAAACUGGGUACACCAAUCCUAACAUAAAUAGUGGCAGUUUUAACCUUCACUUAAUACGAUAUAAUAUAAAUUUAAUUUAAAUUUUAAUAUUUAUAAUAAUUAAUUUAAUUUCGUUUUAUAAUUUGAUUUCAUAAUAUUAUUUAAUUUUAUAUUAUAAUUAAAUUUCAGUACGCAAUUAAAUUUCAUAAUAUAAUUAAAUUAUAAGAUAAAUUAAUUUUAUAAUAAAAUUAUACCUCAUAAUAUAAUUAAAAUUGAUAAAUAUAAUAAUAAGAAAUGAUUUUAUUCAUUCAUUAAGAUAACAAAGUUUAUAAUGUCAAACUAAUCCAAAAAACAAUUAAAUUAAAUUGUCAAAAUGUAAAUUUUAUUUGAAUAUAUUACAACUAAUGUCAUAGUCCUAACUCUAAUUUGUCUUGUUGCCUCCACUUGAUCCAAUAAUAUUGUGGUUCAGUGAUGAAGUACGACUUCCAUCAUCAUCCGGUGCCUGAAAUUAAUUAAAAUAUGUUUAGAGUUAAUUUUCAAAUUUUAAAAAAUAAAUGAAAAGAAUAUUAUAUAUCCAAGGAGUGUGCAUGAAUUAAGGAGUGUGCAUAAAACAAUGAUCUGGCAUGGAUAGUAAAAAAACAUGUAGCCAUAAACCAAAAAAAUUUAGAUUCACCUCAAACAAAGAUGAACAAAAAUAAUUGGGCGCUGCUUCACCCUUAUUCAUCUCCAUAUACAACACAUCAAUGGGAAAACUAAUUGUAUGAUACUUAUAAAGGUUAAUCUUUUGGCAAAGAGAUGCAAAGAGGUCAUACUUGGGUUGUGGAAGAAAUCUUGCAAGAGGUAACAGUUUCCUUAGAUCAAUGUAAAACUUGUCACUAGCCGAAUAACAGGUAGCAACACGUUCUGUUUUGGGAUAAGAGAAGUUUGUAGCCGCUGGCAGAUCCAAGAAUAUAAUGCUACUUACCUUCAACAGUAUAAUUAAGCUUGUGUUUAUUUGGACAAAAAAAUGAAGCUUGCAACAAAGAAAGUUGUAGAUGGAAUAACUACAUAGCAAAUGAAAUCAGUGUUAUAUAUUAAUAUAUCUAAUUCAGGUAACAGGUAAGUGUCUAGACAUGUAUGCAUACUCAACCUUUGUCCAUGAUUGUGGUUUCAAUUUCAAAUUAGGUAAGCUCCCAUUGUAUUCCUCGUUUUCAAAGGCCAGUGGACCUGCAAACAAAUUUGUUAUACGGAGUAAAUUGAAACAAAUAAAUAAAAAAAUUUAAAGGAUAAAUUAGUCACUUUAAAAAAUAAUCUUUCAAAAAUACUUUAAAAUAUAGCAAAGAAUUGGAAUUAAAAUUAAAAAAUAAAUAUUAAUUAUUGUUAGUAUUAUAAUAGUAAUAGAGAAAUCUUAUGUUCAUUAACUGUCAUUCAUCAUAACAAUAAUAAUCCAUCAAUGGAAUUAAAUCAUAAUCCUAGAUAUUGUUGCAAAGGAAAUGCAAAAGAAUGCAGCAUUUCAAACUAGUUUGAAAAAUCUACCUUGGAGCCGUUAGGGACCAGUUCUUGGAGUAUCUUAAGUCGCUCACUUAUUCUCUCUCUUCUGUUCUGUGAUACACUCGUACAAACAUUCUAUCAGCAUUUAGCUCAUAUUUAAGUUUUCUUAAUUUGCAAUCAAAACAUGGAACAUAUAUGCGACAAACAUAAUUUAACUUAGGUUUGAAGUAAUUAAGCGAACCUUGGCAGCAACAUUUUGAGGAUCCUUGGGUGGGCUUGACUUCGGUUUUGUUGCUUUACUUGUAGUUGUGCAUGGCUUCUUGGCAUUGGUAGCUUGCAUGGUCUCUCUCUAUAAACACCAAAAUCAUUCUUCCAUUCUAAUUAAUUUCAUGUACUUCUUAUGGACUAAUGCUAAAUAAAUGUAUAAAAAGAAGCUAAAAUGUGAUUAAGGAAGCAAUGAUUAAUACCAUAAAAGAUCACUUUCUCAAGACUAAAUCUUGUGCUGCUGACUCAUUCAGGCUAUCACUAUGGGCAUUUGGUUCUGAGUAUAGCCACCCAGAAGAUGAACUUUCACCAUGUUGUUGCUUCUCUUUUGCACCUUUGAACAUGGAGCUAUAGCAAGUAGCAAUUUCAGAGCAACUGAAAUUUUGGACCAGGCGCAUGUGUGUGGUGCUUUUGGGACUAACAUGGUUCCAUUGGUCACAACCUUCAUGCAAAUUACUCUCUUUGGAAAACAGCCAACUCUGCUGAAAGCGAAGGAAAGACUCACUACCUUGCAUGAGGUUGCUGAACUCAUUGACUUUGAAAUUGAUCAGACCUUGCCAGAAUCAAAAUGCUGCAUUAUAAAAUUAUAAAAUGUUGCAUGUAAACACAAUUUCACAGUAUGAAUGCAUGAAUAUGUGUGUUUUCAUGGCCAAUUCACCAUUAUAAAGCUGAUUAGGAUGUUUUCACCUUUUGCAUUUUAUCAAGUUAGAAGAAAAUUACCUCGGAAUUUAGGAAAAAAUAAAUAAAGCUAGUCUGCAUAUGAGAGCACCCAGUUCUGGAGAUAAACAACAUAAUUGUUUGACUCUAUUUGAUGGUAGAUUUUAAACCAAUUUUAGGACCUUCCUCUGUUCUUUAAGGCUAGAGUAUUUUUUAGUGGACUUCAUUCACUUAAAAACCUCAUGUACCAAUUGAUAUAACAAAAUUGAAAAGCCAUAAAUUGGAGAACUUUCUAAAAUCUAACACUUCCUUAAUUAAUCACAGCGACACCAAUUUAUUACAUGCAGUGACAGAAACUGUAAUCAACAUGUAGCCAAAUGACCAUUGGUUUUGUCCACAGGCAUCAGAAGAUGAAUUACUUCACUUAAGCAUUGCCCACUACUCCAUCACCAACAUUUCUGCAACAGAAUAAAUGCAAUCAAGCAACUAAUUUGAAGAGGGAAGGAUUAUAAAUAGCAUGGCAUCAUCGCUGCUACAACGAAUGGUUGCAAUAUGCUUCCAAAUAGAUUCCAGGAGGGAAAAACUUUUGAAACCAAUAACCUAAGAUUCCAGUACCAGUACGGAUCGGACGCAAUGAUUCCGGUGGAGAUUCAGGAGAGCACGCCAUGUUUCCAAAGUUUCGUGGCUGAGGAGUCUAACGAAGAAAGAAAGGUGAAACUGGAUGUGCUGGACGAGGUCAGAGAGAAGGCAAUGAUCAAAGUCAAAGUAAUAAAAAGAAGGGUGGAGCAUAAGUACAGUUCGAAGCUAAAGCCUAAACAGUUCCAGGUCACUGACCUGGUAAUGCGAAAGGCUCACCCAUACUAGUUGGAGAACAAGUUGUCCCCCAAGUGGACUGGUCCCUUUAAGGUGAUGGAAGUCUUGGGAAACGGGGCGUACAGGCUUGAGACCUUGGAGGGAGGCGCCAUUCCUCGUACUUGGAAUGCAGCUAAUCUCAAUUUUUAUUUCAAUUAAAACUCCAGCAUUGUACACAGUUUAAGGGGACACUCUUUUUCCCUUUUUUAAGGGUUUUUUAACGAGGUCACCCAAUAAAAUUACGUUUGAAGUACACGUAUUCUCGAAUUUUCUGUACAAUGCAGAAACGAACUUGUUGCCUUGGUGUUUAGACACCUUGAGAGGGAGUGGCAGUUUUCUUUGGGACGCUUCCCCCUCGAAGAGUGGGCACCAAGUGCGAGCGGUAAGUUUCAACAAAUGAUGAACUGGUCGCCUUGGUGUUUAGACACCUCGAGAGGGAGUGACAGCUUCCUUCGGGACACCUCCUCCUCGAGCGUGGGCACCAAGUGCACCGGUCGUCUCGGUGUUUAGACACCUCGAGAGGAAGUGGCAGCUUCCUUCGGGACGCCCCCUCCUCGAGUGUGGGCACCAAGUACGAACAACAGGGUUCGACCAGUUAAGUCCCCCUUUGCCUCUGAGCAAAGACGAGGGCAGUAACGCACCUUGAGGCUAGACACCUUGAGACCGCAAAGAAUGAGUAAGUAUCAGCAAAGGAGUUUUCCUUGUCUAAACAAGAAGUUGAGGCGAGGACAGUUGAAGGUUCACGCAUGCUCACUUCCAUCACAGGGCGUUAAGCAGUUAAGGUAGAGGGCGAGAAAGCAUGCUACCUAAAGUUCGAAAUUUUAAAGUUUCACAAGGACGUCGUAUGGUGUUAGCAUCAGAACGCUGUUAGUAAGAGCGGCAAGUUAAAGACAUAGUACUCGACAAACAAAGAUGAAAAAAGCAAGUACAAUAAAGGUACGAGUUGUAUUAAAAUUAUAAGUGUUAUGAAGGACACAAUUUUCAAGCCUAAAGUCUAAGCAAGUUCCUUCUGAGGACGCCUUGGCACAAUUUGCCCAUCGAUGAUGUGGUUCGACAUCGCGAAGGGGGAAAUGUCCAUCUCAGGAUGCUUGCAAGCAACCUGAGCGAGAGCAUCUUCGAACCCUGCGACGUAUCAAGGAGCUCCGCCUUGGCUUUCUCGAAAUCUUCAGCUUGUAAGGUGAGCUUCUCCCUGGCCUACUCAAGGGCUUCAGCCUUUGCGGUGAGCUCAGCCUCCACCUUGCCCAGUUGCACCUCCCGGUCGACAGAUCGCUUUUCAAGGUUGGCCAUUUUAGAUUUGUUGGUCGCAACCUCUUCUUGGAGUUCUACCACUUGAGCACGCAGUGGCACAACUUUACCCAGUAGGGUGGUAUACUCUUGGCCUUUUUCAUGGAGCUUCUUGUUAGCUUCUAGCUCAGCCUGUCGGAGGGCACUUAGCUCCUGGUUUAGUGUAGUCUCACGGUUGAAGAAACCCUGAGCCUGAUUUGCAAGUUGUUCCUGUUGGGUUUAAUAGUGCCAAAGUUCAAGAGGGGGGUGAAUUGACCUUUUAAAACUUUCUCGCAGAAACAAUGUUUAACCCAGUUUUACAGAAAAUAAAUCGAUUUAUGUGAAAAUGAACAGAUUUAUUUCAGCACUGUUUUUGUUUGAAAUGCUUUUAAUACAACAAGGUUAACCACAAGACUAUGCAGAUAGAUUUUCCAGAUGCACACACACAAAUAUUAGAUUUAAAAACCAGUGAAACAAAAAACAACAAGUUUCAAUUUCAAGUAAGUGAUUAAGGUUCAAUUGCUAGCAUGCUAAUUAAUUGAGUGACCUUUGCAAACAACCUGUUCCAGUGGCUUUUAACAGACUAUGAGUGUUCUUCUUGAUGUCAAGCAAUUUUCCAGAAAUUAAGAACAAUGAAUCACAGAACAACAAGCUUCAACUUUAAGCAAUUGUUUAAGGUUCAAUUAAUAGCUUUGACAGUUUCUUGAGCAACCUAUCACAGCCAAUCUGUUCCAGUAGCUUUUAGCAGAUUUUAUAUGUUCUUAUCAGAUUAAGACAACUUUUUCAGAAAUCAAGAACAGUAUGCACAGUGCCCAGAAAGAACAGAUUUAUUUUCAAUUGAACAGAUUUAUUUCUUUGUUGUUUUAUCAAUUAUGCAGAAACGAAAUUGCAGAGAGUGAGAGAGAAUGAACACAAGCAAUUAUACUGGUUCACUCAACUGAGCUACAUCCAGUCUUCACCAACAACAGGUGGAAAUCACUAACACACAGUACAACCAAGUACAAUUCCCACUGUUCUUGAAACCUACAAGAACUUAGGUACUCUUGCUGAAGAAACCUAUUUCAGCACACACACACCCACUCUUCAAGAACACCUAUCAAGAAGAGUGUUCAACCAAACUAUUACAAGAAAUGAGAUGUGAAACGACUACACCUGAUUGAGGAUACACAGAUCUGCCUUAAACCAGUAGGCAAGAUUGCUAGAACAGUAGCAGCACCUCACACCAAGCUUUUGGAACCAAACCAAGAACAAGCACUUUGUGAUUUUUGAAAUCUUUGAAGAACAAAUGCUAAUCCUUUGUAAACACUUAACUCUCUGCUCUCAAAACUUGUUUUUGCAAAUGUAUGAAUUGUUAUUAAACUCAGAAACAAGUUUGCAUUUUAUAGAAAGCCAGCUUAUAACAGAAUUUUGAAAAAAAGUUAAAGCUGUUAUAAAAUGAACAGAUUGAAAAUAAAAUGAACUGAUUUAUUUUCAAAAGCAGUUAGAGAAUUUGUUAAGUGAGGAGACUUAGUCAACCAUUCUGAUGCUGAGAUAAAACUGAAAAACGUUUAAGCUUGACAUGGCACCAGAGACAAAAAGAAUCUAUUCAUUUACAGAUGAACAGAUUCAUUUUUCAAAACGAAAACAGAGAAAGUUUAACAAUUUAAAACUCAGUCGUUUUGAAAAGAAGAAGACUUAGUCAAAAAACCUGAUGCACAAAAUCUAAUUUUUACAAGACUUAGCCAAGGCAUCAGUGAGAAAAAUGAAUCUGUUUAUUUAGAAAAGAACAGAUUUAUUUUUAUGCAGUAAACGUGUUUUUGUGUAAAACAUGUGAAAACCAGUUUAAGAAAACUUAUGCUUGUUCUUAACACAUGGCCAGUGGUUAUGAGGUGAGUUACCCAGCAAAAAGCCCACUCUUAGACAACCUCUAAGCACUACCUAAGACAUACUUAAAGCAAAGCAAAAAACAAAUGAAAUGUACAUAUAAGUCUUCAUCAAACACAAUCUUGAAGGGGCAGCAACCAUCUUCAACAGUUCCUUCACCAGGUCCAAUUCUUCUGCCAAGGCCAGUUGCUCUUUAGCCUUCGACUCUGCCUCAAGGGAGAAGGUGUUAGCCUGGGCAAAGAAUUCACCGAGGCUGAGAGCCAAGUUCUCUUGCACAACCUCGUUCGUGGAACUCCCCAUGGCCCCUUUCAGGAUUUGUUGAAGGACCAGGAGAAGCUCAGGGGCAGGAGCAGGGGGAGGCUUAGGGGCGUUUUUACCCCCACCCUCGAGCGCGAAAAGGCUAUGGGGGGACGAGGCGCUCGGGGGGUGCUCCCUGAAUGACGUAGGACGACUGGCUGAGGUAGAAUGUGAGGGAACUGCCGCAGCCGCCCUGCGCCUUUUGAAGACAGGGCCAUCCAAAGAGGCCUCCUCGUCGUCAGAAGCAAUGUUUACCACCCAUUCGCCCUUCUCAAGGGGGACUGGAGGUGGAGAAGCCUUGACAGUUGCCAAGGGAAUUGCAAUAAUGGGGGCUGAGGAAGCAGGGACAGGAAGGGUUUGGGUGGCAGGUGGGGCAGUGGGUGUUGAGGCGCCCGCACCAGCAGCGGCGUCGUCGUGAAGGGAUAAAAUCUCAGCUAGUCUUGCCCGUUUCUCUGCGUUUAACACCAUCCCUGCACCAAAAGAAAGAGAGAUAAGAACUUAGUAAACAGGGAAUAAUCAGAAAUCCAGCACAAGUAUAAGCUAGCAGAUAAAAGACAGAGUUGUGCAUGAGGAAGAUCAGAAAAGGGUUCCUAUACCAAUAUAACCAACAAGCCCAGUCGGGCUGUAUUCGUUCUUGAUGAGCUCUGCAAUGUUGAAGAUCAUCCCUAGGUUGGACAACACUUGGCAUACCCUGCGAUCGGCAGAAGAAAGCUCAUCCAAGGUUUUAGCUUUCUUAAGUUUUAACUUCCCCACCCAGUACAAUGGGAAUCCGUCUAGGGCGGUGCGGUCGUGCUCGAAGCAACACACCCUGAAGAAUUUCCCCUUAAACCCCUUGUAGGACUGUUGGAACAGGGUAAGGAUGACUCUUCCUAUCACCCCGCUGAAGCUAACCCAGAGGUUUUUCCCAAGGUUUUUGGCCUCAAAGAAAUGGAGGAAGACAUCUACGGAGGGGGCAUGGCCAAAGUAAUUACAAAGAAUGGAGAAGGCCCAGAUGUUGGGAUGCAGCUGGGGAGGGGCGACGUUUAUCUCAGUUAACAACUCCCUUUCGAAGCUGUUGAAAGGGAGGCGCUGCCUAAUGUGCUUAAAGACAGUCUGAUAGAAGAAGAAGAAUGGUUCACCAUCGUUUGCGCGGUUGUGCACACACACAGGUUCGCCCUCUACGCAGGGGCGAACCGAGAUAUAAGUGUCACACUCUCUCCCAAACGCCCUACCCUUGAAGUCAGGCUCGUUGUCCAGGUGUGCCCUCCAGUCAGCGAGAGAGGUGAGGGAGGAGGUUUCAGCAAAGAGCUCGUUGGAGGCCCAAGGGUAUAAGGCCUUGUAGUCGACACUAGGAGGAGAAGGGUUGGCGGUGACUUUCGUUCGUGCCAUGAUGAAGGAAGCUAGGAAAAACAAGGAAAAGAAGAAAUCGAAGGUUCAACAAGGGGGGCUAUGGUGUGAAACUAAAGAAACCCAAAAUACCCUACCAUCGUAGGAAAACUCAGAAAAUAGAGGAACGAAGAUGCCGAAGAAAACUUAAAAUGUGGAAGUUUAAACAGUCCCAGACAGUUAUCAAUGCGCAAAUUAGAAGUAAAGAACAAUAAAUGGGGAAAAAAUCAUAGCUUUGGUUGUUAAUGAGGGAAAGUAGCGAUUUUUGCGAAGAGGAGGUAAGAACGCUCAAAGAAGAAGAUGAAGAAUGCAAAUGAAGGUUGUAAGUGAUGAAACAGUGCAUGAAGCGCGCACUUUUGAAAUACUCAACGUAAACUGGAGAAGCGCAAGAGACAUUAAGUCCCAAUCGCUUGCUUAAGACACGUGUGCGCUGAUUAGAGCAUGAACAGGAAAACAUCACUUCGGUGCACUUUACAUGUCCUAUCACUUGAAGCCACGUAGGUCGGCAAGGCGAGGCCAUAGUCUCUUUGCUGAACAAGUUGACAGCUCGAGACCGGGAGGCUUGUGUACCGACUAGUCCUCGAUCUCGAGCAUUGACCAAAGUCAUGGUGGGGCCUCGAAAGUUGGGUCCACUGGGAGGUCCGCAGGACAGGGUAGAGGCUCAUUUGGCUCGCAGGUAAGGGGAGCCGAGGAGUGGGCAGCAUCAAGGCAGGGCGUGGAGGCCUCGGGCCUUGAUACCCCGACAAAAAAUGAUGGACCGAAAAGGGUGGUUUCCAAGCCACACUCCAGUUACCAGUAGGGGAAAGCCUGGCUCACUAGGGGUCCGUGCAUGGGGUGUAGGAAACGCGGUAGUACGCACCACUGUUAAAGAGCCACUGGGAAAGAGACGACUCGUAAGGGUCACGUCCCAGGGGUGAUUUGCAUGCAUGGUACGUGAGUAAAUCAUAGAACUCCCAAGGCGGAUGAUCCAGAGAUUGGGUGCAUGAGUUGGCAUCCAAGCGGUCAUCCUGCGCCACUUGCGCUUCGGCAAGGUAGUCUUACACACUAAAUGGCCCUAAGACUGGGUGAUAGUGUCGCUAAGACGCGCCUACAGUAUGCUUAAGUCAUAGUGAGCAAAAGGGCAGAGACACUGAAAGGUAUAUAAAGGAAACAACUAGCAUAACACAAGGUACGCUUUUGUUAGUACGCAUUACGCAUUUCUAGUGCAAGUAACAGAAAGAGAUAGAGAAGAGUUUUUUGGUGUUUCAUUGCCCGAGAGUUUGACUUGAGCGUCAGAGUGCAAACGGCCGCAAGGGCACCCUUUGUCUCUUUCUUGCAGGUGUUUGUUCAUCUAGGGAGGGAAAGCGGAGACAGGGGUUCUUGGACGCGAAGUUAUCAGAGGUGUACGAAGACGUUUGGGUCACAGGCGGGAACAAUAAUAAAUUACAUAAUUUAGAAACCAAUAUUGUGACCAUUUUUUUGGUAUUUAUAUAUUUGGUCACUAAAUGAGUUUCUAUAUAUUUUGGUCACUAAAUUGGUUUCAAUGAAAUUGGUUGUUAAUUUGGUUUCUAUAUAAUUGGUCACUAAAUUAGUUUCUAUAUAUUUGGUCACUAAGUUGGUUUUUAUUUAAUGGUAACUAAAUUGGUUUCUAAAUUAGAAUCUAAAUUGGUAUCUAAAAUUACUGACUAUGAUUUUAGCCACUUACUGCUAUUAGUUUCUAAGUUUGUCUCUAAUUAAGUUAGUGACUAUUUUUUAUCAUUUUAGAAACCAAAAAUUUAGUUUCUAAAAGUAAUUUUUCUUGUAGUGAUAUAACUAUAAACAAAUGAAGUAUAUAUAGUGGGUCACAAACUUUCUCACAAAGCAAACAAUUAACUCUAAUUAUAUAUCUUUUUUGUCGGUUUUGUAUCAAUUUUAGCACCUUAUGUAGGUUUUGCAUCAAUUUUAGCAUAUCUAUCUGUAAACUAAUUAUGUAGGUUAGAUCUUUAUGAACAAAGUGGGUUGAGUCCUCGCUAAGUGACUGAGUGAAAGUUAAUAGCGAGGGUUAAGUCCUAACUAAGUUAAACACGAAAGGUAAAAGUGAGGUUCAAACCUUAGUUAAAAUUAAACGUAGAAGUUAAUAGCGAGAAACAAGUCCUAACUAACUUAAACAUAGAAACUAAAAACGAUGGUCAAACCCUAACUAAGUGAAUCGUAGAACUUAAUAACGAGUGUCAAGUCCUAACUAAAUUAAAAUCGAGAAAAAAAUUUAAACUCGACAACAACAACACGAACUAAAGAACCAACUUUAGAACCAAAAAAAUUGAACUCAUAAACAAUAACUCACAGUUUCAGCUUCAACAAACAUUAACUUCAUCUUCAACUCCAAACGCUCCUCACUACCUCGCAUAGGAACAAACAACUCAAACUUGCAUGGUCAAGCUUCUCCUCCGCACCCAACAACAAAUGGGGGAAACUAAAAUGAGAACAACCCAAGUUUCUCCUCCACACAUCGCAACCACAAAUGGAGCCACAAACCAAAAUGGAAAAACUUUACUCACCCAAGAAGCAAAGACCGAAAAAAAAGCCACAAAUUUGAGCAUUUGAAGCACAAAGAAGAGAGAAAGGGAUUUAAAAUAGAGAAAGCUAGAGAUUUGAAAGAGAGAAAGGGAGGUUCCUCUAAAUCACUUAAACAACGUUGACCAGUCCAUAGUUCCCACCUAACAGCUAGCAUCGGCUUGACCCUAGCACAUGCAUACAAGUUUACAUCGUCCUAGCCCUUGCAUGCAUUCCAACCUAGUGACGGUCAGGCCCUAACAUGCACCAACCGAACUAACGUCCGCUUGGUUCUAGUAUGCUCCAAUCCAACCUAGAGACGUCCUAUUCCUAUACACCAAACUUCAACGUAGAGUGGACCUAGCUCUAGAGCUAUCAAAAUUCUUCGUAUUUUGACUUUGCUUGCGACACUAAGAUUUGGUCUCUAACCAAGCAUUUUCUUGUAGCGAAUAAUAUAAAUUACUUAAUAUGUAACUAAUGGUACAUAGUUACGUCUCUAGUAAUUAUUAUAAUAAUAUUUUUUGUUGAAAAAGAAUAAUGCUUUUAAUGAUUGUAGUUUCGAAAAUAAUUGUGUGAAAUUGAAGAAAUGUAAAUAUUUCUAUAUAAAAUGUACGUGGAACAAAUAAAUUCUAAUCGUUUCAACAUCUAAAUAAAGAAUAGUUUAAAGAUUUGCACAAGAGGAAACAUGAUAAAAAUUCUAUGAAAGAAAAUUAAAGUACUUCAAAACUUUAAUGUGAUGUUCAUUCAUUAAAAAUUUGUAAAUUAAGAUUCAAUAAUAAAUUGUGCUCCAAUCACUAAAAUAAAAUUAUUAUAUAAUAAAUAAUUUAGAAAUUAAAAAAUAGUUAGUCAUUAUAUUGACUAAAUUAGUUAUAUUGACUAAAUUAGAUACUAUUUUAUAAAUUAAAAAUUAUCAAUAUCUAAAGUCGAUUUUAAUUUGGUAUCUAACUUUAACUAUCAAGGUUUUAGGUACUAACUAUUUUAAAUUAUAAAUUAAUCAAUAAUUUAAUUAAAAACUAAUUUAUAGUCUUGCUUGAAUUAUAUUCCUUAUGUCUUUCCGCAUAUGAAACUGAAUUGUUUCCUUUAUUAUGAUGUGAACAUUGAGCCUUUAAAGCUCGUGACUUAAAUUGCAAUCAUAUCUUUGUCAUAGAUGUUUUCACUAUAAUUAUCUCAGACGUUGAGUAUAGAAACAUUUACUUUGUUUGUUGCGUUACAUAUUUUCUCAAUUUCUUUCUUUUCUAACAAUUACUUUAUAAAUUUUUGUUAAUAAUAGAAAAUACUUUAAAUACAAUAAUAUUUUAGUUAAUAAAAUAAUAUUUAACUUAAUUAAUAUAAUGACUGGUUAUUUUUUUUCUCUAAAUUAAUUGUUAUUUAAUGAUUUUUUAGUGAAUAUAUACAAAUAUAAAUAUUAUUUCAUUAAAACUAUAAUAACAAUAUAAAAGAUAAUUUUAUACUAUACCCACCAAGUUUUAAAAUUCUAAAUUAAUUAUUUUUGAUAAAAUAUAACUGUCACCUAUUUCUAAAAGUUUCACUAGUGUAAUUUUUCUCAAGAUAAAAACACACUCUCAAAUCUCAAAUUUUAAAGCCAAGGAUAGGUUAGUACUAUAGUAGAUAAGAAUAUGACCUAUGCAAGAUAUUAUUAUUUUCUCAAUAUUAAAAUAAGUUAUACAAGUUUUGAAGGCAAUCUCAUUGUAUUAUUAUAAGUUGAAUUUCUUAUGCAUGGCUAAAUUUUUUUCAACUCAACUAUGUAUAGGUAGAUUUGAUCGCAUGCAUAAAAUAAAGUCAACUAAUAAUAAAUAGCUACCAUAACUAUUUUAGAAAUUUGAAAUUAAUUAAAUCAUAUUUAAAAUGAACUAUACUACGAGAGAGAUUGCGUGAUAUUAUUAUAUUAUCUAUUGAGAAUGAAAUAAAACUCCAAUAAAUAACUUUUCUGCUCAAAAUAUAGAAAAAUUAAGUAAGAAUUAUUAAUUUAUAUUAAUCUGAUUCUUAUCUUAAUUUUCAUUUGAAAUCCCAUAAUCUCUAUCUACGACCCUAUAAAGAAUUAAGAAUAGGAAACACGUAUUUGUUCCUUCUUUAUGAUAAUCUGUAAAGCAAUAAGUUAUAGUUUUAUGAAAUAAUAGGCAACACCUAUUUUCUUCAUAAUAAAUUAUUUUUAUGGUUGAAUAGGUAACACCUAUUUUUCUUCAUUCUUUUAUGAAACCUCCAUCACCCAAUAAGUUUAGCUUUAUAAAAGAAUAGACAACAUCUACUUUCUUCAUUUUUUUCAUGAAAAAUUCUGUCAAAGUUAUACUUAAUUGAUGUAAUAGUAUUACAUGGUUUAGAAGUUGAGAUUAAAGAUAAUUUAAAUAUAUAUUUUUUAAUUUUUUAUUUUUUAAAAGGUUUUUUAAGAACAAUUGUAAGAAAGUUUUAAAUUCCCAACUAAAUUUUAUAUAUAUAUAUAUAUAUAUAUGCACGAAGUAGAAUGGAGAAGAUAUGUUUAAAUGGCAAAAAAAACAUAACAACUACAAUUGUUAAAUGAAAUGAGCACAAUACACCUACGUACUACAAGAAAAAAAUGUUUUAAUAGAGAUUAUUUAGCGGAGGUUAAUCUAACCCUAGGAAUUGAUUUAAUUAAUGGAAGUUUUUUUCUAAAACCUCAACAAAAUAACGGAGGUUCUUUAACUUUCGUUAAUUUCCAAAGAUUUAUUUUAAAACUUCUGCAAAAUAGUGGAGGUUUUUUUUAACAUUCGUUAAUUUCCAAAGGUUUAUUUAAAAACAUCCACAAAAUAACGGAGGUUUCUUUGCUUCGUUAAUUUUUAAAGGUUUAUUUUAAAACCUUAGCAGAAUAACGAAAGUUUUUAACCUUCAUUAAGUUCUAAGAUUUAUUCUAAAACUUUAAGAAAAUAAUAGAAAUUUUUUAAGUUUUGUUAAAUUCCAAAUGUUUACAUAAAACCUCAAUAAAAUAUUUUAGUUUUUUCCAAAUCUCAAUAAAUAAUUAUAUUAAAUUUUUUUAUAAAUAAAUAAUUAAAUUAUAAUUUAUUGUAUUUGAUAAUUAAAUAUUAUUAAUUAUAUUUUAAUAUGUUUAUAGAAAUAUUAAAUCAUAGUUUUCAUUUAAUAACUUUUUAUUAUAUUAAAAUAAAUUUAUUUAUUAAUGCUUAAGAUAAUUUUCAGAAUAAAUUUGAUUAAGGAAAGUAUUUUUAAACUCCAUUAAAUAUUAAAGAUUUAUUUAAAAACGUUCGUAGUUGAGGUUUAUUUAAAAACCUCCCUUAAAUGGCAGAGGUUCUUUUAAAACCUCUGUUAAACAGUAGAGGUUUGUUGUAAAACCUCAGUAAACUACUCUAGUUUUAUUUCAAAUUCUUUUUACUUUUGAUUUUUUUUCUUAUUUUUUUCCUUUCUCUUAUCCGGUACACCCUAAACCCGCCUCUCAUUUCCAUCUUCUCUUCUCUUCACUUUCAUUUCCGUCCAACUCCCACCUCUUCCAUCGCACACCACUGGACAUUUGCUUCUAAUGCUCCCCCACGGAACAUGCUUCUGCUAUUCCAACACGGAACAUGGUUAUGCUACUUCACUAUGGAACUUGCUUCAACCUUCGCUCCACCACGGAACCGCUUGUCUGCAAAGCGCAGGUAUGUUCCGCAAUUGGUGAUGUGGUGUUUGUUGUUUAUUUGACGAUCUUGGAACCCUAAUUUUUUUUAUCAGUUUUUUUUUUUUUCGUCAUUAGUGCUUCGUUCUCGUCAUUCUUUGUGGCUAUGGUUUGUGGUGGAGGUUCGUGGUUGAGGUUGAGGUUAUGGUUCAUGCUUCGUGCUUCGUCUUAUACCUUCUUCUCAUCGAUUCGUGAUUCAUGGUUCAUACUCAAGGUCGUGGUUCGUUCGGUGUGGCAAUGGUUUGUGCAGUUUGUGUUGAUGUUUUCCUCUUGCUUGAAAUAUUCUUGCUUAAAUGUUACGAGUUAUUUUAUGAUAAUAAUAGUAUAAAAUCUUAAAUGUGUAUAUAUCCUUGGGCUAGCUUUUAUGGAUUCAUGAUAUGUUUCAGCACUUUCACUCAUAUGGAUGCCUAAACUGCAAAUUCUGAAGCAUUCAGGUUGAAUUAUUUAAACACUUAAAUAGAUGCCUAAGCUGCUAAUUCUGAAACAUUUCAGUAUUGAAUUUUUAAAAUUAGUGCUUUAAAUGUGAAUCUGGUGAUGUUCUGUCUUGAAAUGCAAGUGCAUCUUCUGUUUGUCCAUGUGAUGCUUUAAAAAAGGGAGGGAGGGAUGAAGCCAUGCUUGGUAUGCUGAGAUUAAGAUUAGCAGCAGAAGAAGGAGUUAUCAGAUGAUGCAGAGUUGUCAAGACAAAGCAUCCUCAGUUACUGUAGGAGUCUAAGCUGUACAAAAUCCUGCAGGGAGGAAGUAAGGACCAUUCUUACAUUAAUUGUUGUAUCCUAUUUUUUUGUUUGCAUUUCCUGCAAGGAGCAUAGUACUGUCUCCCUCUGUAAAGUUAGAUACUAUAUGAUAAACAUGAUAUAAUUUCAAGAAAUCAAGGAAUCAAGAAAAAUGUGAAUGGAAAUUCCUAUAUUUUAAUAUACAAGUAGGUAAUUGAAAUCAAAGGUUGAAUCAAAAUUGACAAAACUUCACUGGACACUCUCCUACUCUCAAGUGUUUAGGGUUUCUAUUUACACUCAGCACCCAUGCAGACAAACACUACCAUAUGCUUAGCAAGACUCUAAUAUUCACAACAACCGAAAAAAACAUGCAAUCAAAGAUCAAGAGGACUUCAUAAGGGAUGUAAUUAGGCUAAGGUAAAGGUAGGUAAAAGGGGGAAAUUAGGCUUAAAACCAUAGAAAAACAAAGGAGCAAUGGUGGGUAGGUCUAAAAACAAGUGUAAGUAUUAUGACAAUUGAACUCCUCUUUUUAUUUCAAGAUAUUUUUUUUUUCAUAUAGUAGACAGUCAAUCCAAUGUAUUAGAGGAUCCACUCUUAUUUUCUUUAUUUUGCUUUGCUUUUCUUUCUCUUGUUGCAUUCCUUUUUUUUUCUAUCCCUUUUCUUUUUUUUUUUCUUUAAAACUGAAGAGGUAAACUAUGAAAAUGAGAUACACCCCCACACUUAUUCAAAAACCUAUUCCCAAAUAAUUUCAAAGCUCCUUUAUCUUCUAAGGUAGGGACAAACAUGGUUUUUCUAUUUUGAGGCUUGUAAUGAGGGUUAAAAAUAAGAAAAAGGCUAUAGGCUCAAGGGGCUAACAAAUGGAUUAUCAUAAAGGUAGGCUAAUAUGGCUAGUGGGUUAAUUUAAACAAUGAAUGCCUCUAUCAUAUCAAUUCAUGCACAUAAAUCACAAUUGUAAAACAAAGAAUCAAGCUAAGUUCUAGAGUAUAAGCAAACAUGAGUGAAAACACACUAAAAAGAGUAUUAAAUGAUAUAUCAAUUAAGGCUCAAAAACUCACUAGGGACAGUUCUAUCAAAAGAUUCAACCCAAAAUUUCUCAUAACCAACUUAUUUAUCAAUUUUUAAGAAAAUCCAAACAACAAAGAUCAAGAAACCAAGAUUUUCAAGAAUUAUAAAACAUGUCAGCCAUUAGACAAUCCUAAAAAAACUCAUUUAUUUUAACAGAAGCAAAAAGAAAUUCAAAUAAAUAAAAGAAAAACAAAAAUCACAAAAACAAAUCAACAAAAGAUAAAUCCUAAACUAUCAUUCUCCUCCCCCACACUUAAAUCAUACAUUGUCCUCAAUGUAAAAUCAAUAAAUAAAUGUGUAUAAUAAAAGUGAGAGAAGAAGUACUCCCUCAUUCAGCUUGAGGGAAGUGGCAGUUGCAGCUGUUUCAACCAUCCCCUCUACAAUACAAGCCAAGACUCUUCAUCCAUAGUGGUGUAGAAACACUGUCAACUGGAUCGUCUAACCAAAGCAUGCAGUACCUUGGUAAACUAUGUAACAAAAAUAUUAUGUUGAAGAAGCCUUGAAAUAGUGGAUGGAACUGGGGUAGGUCUGGAGGACGUGUGAAAUGGUACAGUUUCUUCCAUGGAUGGAUGAUGGUAUUUUCUAGAGUAUAUAUGGAAGACAAAAAUUUAUUCAUCAUAGACGAUCUAAUUUGGUUAACUGUUUGGGGAUCGUCUAAGGGUGGUGGUCUAAGGCUAGACUGUCUAGCUAUGGUAGACAGUCUAGUUGGGGGUGGGAGAUGGAAUGAAAUGUAAGUUAGGAGGUGGUGGUGGCUGGUAAAGGCUGCUUUCAAACAUUCCAAUUAUGAUAGAAGGUGUAGCCAGUGGAGAUGAUGGAAUGAGUGAUAUGGGCUUCACCUUAAAUAGUGGAGGUUGUAUUCUUUGAAGCUUUAAGGAUGGAAGAAUAAUAUCAUCUUCUUCUCCACUAGCAAUGUCUACUUGAACGAUGGGUAACACCUGCUCUUCCUCUUCUUGUAUUACCUCCAAAACUAUGUCAGAGCCAUCUGCUAGUGCGCAAUCUUUUUCAGUAGAUUCGGCAAGUAUAGCAGCAUCAACAACUUCUUUAUCAAGACCUGCAUGUGUCAUAGAGUCUAAUGCCUCUUGAUUAAGCAAAAAAUUUUCCUCCAUCAGUGGAGGUUGGAUUAGUUGGUAAUGGUUCAUAGAUCCUAACAACCUGCAAAUCAACAGUGUCUGCACUGCAAAUUAUAUCAUUAGAGGAUAUGCAUUUGAUCAUCACAGAACAUGUAGCACAUGUAUCAUCAAAAUCCUCUGUGUCUUCAGCAGUCAUAUGCACUUCGGGAGUGUCUGGAUAAGGUUUAAUUCCUGCAAAUGAAAUGGAAACUGGAGGCAUGGCAGAAUUAAUCUCAACACAUAUAUCAGGAUCACAAGUAUAGCCUGUAUCAAAGUUGGAAAAAAUUUCUAUAUCUAAAUUAGGAUCAUGAUGUGAAUUCAAACUUUGCUUAGAAAUAUCUUCAAAUUGUCUAGUCAAUUGACCAACUUUCUCUUCUAAUUUUGAUAGAGUAGCAUCUAUGCUUUGCUGAGAUUUGAUCGUAUUUACCAUUAAUUGUCUCACCAGCUCCUCUAAAGAUGGCUUUUCAAGAUUAUGAGGAAUAUUAUCAGUUUGCAAAAAUGGUUGAAAAGGUGUUUGCCUUUCAUCAAAAUAGUAUUGUUGAUAAUAUAGUUGCUGUUGAGGUUGCUCAUAUGACGGCUGACAAUAUGGAUUAAAAUGCUGAGGUUGUUGAAAAUAUGAUUCACAUUGUUGUAGAGGUUGCUCAUAAAAUUGUGAAGGUUGCUGCAAAUAUGGCACAUAAUAAAUAUCAUAAUUGUAAAUUUCUUCAGCUAAUUUCCGUUCCAUUUUAGAAUUGAAAACAGGGGAUGUAUAUUAUGGACACCAACACCUAUUAGACGCCUUAGAGCAAACUCUUUUUUUUUGUUUAAAUUGAAAAGCAAACCAAGUAAACUCCCAGGAAAGAGAGGUGAGUCACAAGUGGACAAACUUAGAAACCAAGUCUUUCCUAGCCAGAGUCUUCCCUGAAUUGCUUUCAAUAUAAAAAAUCAAAGAGUAGCAACUGAAGUGUCUACCNNNNNNNNNNNNNNNNNNNNNNNNNNNNNNNNNNNNNNNNNNNNNNNNNNNNNNNNNNNNNNNNNNNNNNNNNNNNNNNNNNNNNNNNNNNNNNNNNNNNNNNNNNNNNNNNNNNNNNNNNNNNNNNNNNNNNNNNNNNNNNNNNNNNNNNNNNNNNNNNNNNNNNNNNNNNNNNNNNNNNNNNNNNNNNNNNNNNNNNNNNNNNNNNNNNNNNNNNNNNNNNNNNNNNNNNNNNNNNNNNNNNNNNNNNNNNNNNNNNNNNNNNNNNNNNNNNNNNNNNNNNNNNNNNNNNNNNNNNNNNNNNNNNNNNNNNNNNNNNNNNNNNNNNNNNNNNNNNNNNNNNNNNNNNNNNNNNNNNNNNNNNNNUUAUUGCUAUAAUAAAUAAAUAAAAACUAAAAGGAAGAAAACAAAGGUUAAAUAUGCAUAAAAAAAAUAUGCAGAUAAGAAAGAAAAACCUGAUAACCAAAAUCAAAUUGGAUUCCCCGGCAACGGCGCCAAAUUUGAUAGCUGUCGUUUUGCUGUCAAAUUAAUAUGAUUCUAGCGUAGACUUGUCUAACACUAGAGAGAUGAUAGUAUAAUUGUGGACAAAUGUCCCCAAGUCGUCUCCCAACGAAUCCAAUAGUAAAAUAAGUUGAUCAGGGUUUAGAAUCUAUCUGUAAGCAAUAAAAGUUAGCAAAAACAAUAAUAAUAAAAAGGGGUUAAGAUAGUUGUGCAGAAAAUAUAAAAGAGAUUGAAAUAGAAAAUAAAAAGAAGUUGAUCCCAAGUUCUUCCACCAUUGAAUUCUUCACAGGUUCUCUAAAGAUUAAUUCUUUUUCAAUCCUCAACAGAGUUAAACCAGAUUNNNNNNNNNNNNNNNNNNNNNNNNNNNNNNNNNNNNNNNNNNNNNNNNNNNNNNNNNNNNNNNNNNNNNNNNNNNNNNNNNNNNNNNNNNNNNNNNNNNNUACCCACUUUGUUCCAUGCGUAUACUCCAUGGGAAUGCUUACCUCCUCUCUCUGGAAUCAUGCGCCCAGGAAAUUAAUUAGAACAAUGCGAACUAACUAAGAAACCAAAGUUUAAGAUAAGGAAGACUCUCAAUCAUGCGUUCAAGUACAACCUCUCACAAAAACUAGUUUUCCAGGAGAUUAGACUAUUAAAACAACUGCUAUAGAGAAUUAAAAAUCGAAACUUUUAUUGAACAAAACCUCAAAACUCAAUGGGGAAUUACAAAGGAAUCAACCAAAAAGGUUUAGCCUUCCAUGCGGAGGCAAAACAAAAGAAUUACUAAGAAGAAAAUAAACUAAGAAAACCCUAUGAAGCUCCCUCUUCUAUCCUUGAUGCUUGUGUCCUUUUAUAGGCUUUUCUGCUCCAAGGAUCUUGGGAAAAUAUUGCAAUUUAGAUUUUGUAAACAGUUUCCACUUUCCAUAAUUCUUUUUAUUUUGCAGAAGAUUUGCUUCCAAUUCUGUUUCUGGAAUCUUGUAGCUUUUAUUUUCUCUUUCUUCUCCUCAGAAUAUUUUUUCUGUUUUGGUUCAAGAAGCAACUUGGACUUUUGCAUAUUUGGCCCAUUCACAAAGGUAGAUCCUUCCUCCGGAUAAUUUACUCUUAAAACACAAAAUAAACAAUAAUAAUAGUUAAGGCCCAAAUAAACCCAAUUAUAAGAAUAUUAAUUAAAACAAUGGAUUUAUUUAUUAUUAUAGUCUAAUAAUCUAUGAAUAAGGCUAGUGAGUGUGAAUAAAUAUAUGCUCAUCACUAUAUAAUUUAUAUCUAGCUGUAAUCCAAGUUUGGUUUUGGUAGCUGGAAUCCCAAAUGUGAGAUGGUUUGGAGUCGAGGGGGAUUAUAAUGUUUAGUGAUGAAUCUGCUUGGACCUAGUCUUGAAGAUCUAUUUAACUUCUGUAGUAGAAAGCUUUCACUAAAGACAGUUCUCAUGCUUGCUGAUCAAAUGAUAGGCUAUGACUAAUUUUGUAGACUUUUGUGUGCCCUUUUUUUUAUAAAUUUAAAAAAAAAAAAUAAUGAUUCAGAUCAACCGUGUUGAGUUCAUUCAUUCUAAAUUGUUUCUGCAUCAAGAUAUCAAACCAGAUAAUUUUCUAAUGGGAUUAGGAAGGCAUGCAAACCAGGUGAGUAGUCUUGUUAAAAUGUGGACUUUGGAUAUCUUGUUUGUUGUCAUAUUUAUUGAGGUAUUUAAUGCAUUGAUGUGCAUUUAGGUUUAUGAUUGAUUUUGGUUUGGCUAAGAAAUACAGAGAUAGCUCAACACAUCAACAUAUUCCUUACAGGUACGAAGAUUUAUUGGUAUGCAUUAAAUUUAGUACUUAUCUAGGACGUAGUGUAAGGCCUUGAUGGAAUCAUAAAAUAUCAUAUCUUAAUUUCAAUUACACUUACCCUGUGUUGUAGUUGUAACUUGUCAAGUUGUCAUAUACUGAGCAGCUGCCAUAUUAAGAAAAUAAAAUAAAAGAAGAUUAGGGAGGGUAUAUGUUAUUAUGGGUUUUAUUGAGAAUAUAAUAGUUAAUGUCAAAUAACUAUUAUAUUCUAAGUCAGUCUUCAGAUUUUCUGUUGUCCGUACCUUGGACAAGGUAAUAAUUUCUCAAGUUUCACUGAAGUAAUUUUUAUGCUGCUGCAGAAUUUAUAAUGGGAUUUUUUAAAUGCUACUCAAGUUUGAAACCUCCCUGCUCUUUUUCGUUUUCCUUUUAUGAUCUGGAGGAGUUGAUAGAAAAUCAAUACUUUCAGUGUUCGCUAAAUAUUGUAAUGAGAUUUGUGAUGGUCAAACUGGACAAGGUUUAACCAUGAAGUGUGACUUUGAAACUUUACAGGUGGCAAUGACGCAUCCAAUGUCAAUGGCAGUGAGCCAGUUUCUGCAAGGAGAAAGGUGGAUUCUAGCUACAGGGGUGCCAUUCUCUUCUGGAAUAUGAGUACAUGAUCUGUGAUGGUGUUAAUAAUUAAUAUAUGGCUAGCUUCACUGUGGCACAGUUUGCAAUGUAUAUCAUAUAUGCUGGCUUUUAAAAAUAUCAUGGUCCCAGAUUCCAAAAAUUUGUUCCAUCAAACUACUUUGUAAUGGUAUAUUACUAUAUGCAUAUGUAAGACAAUAUUAUUAUUAUAUUAUUCAAUAAAAUUAUCCAUGGAUUGGUGUGACCGUAUAUUGUUGUUAUAAAUUUUGUAUAAAUAUUUUUAAGAAAAAAUAAAAAUGAAUAUAUGAACUUAAUCAUAAGUUUUACUUCGAUCAAGUAGAAGUUUAAUUUCUUAUGAAAAGUUUAUAACUAAAAGAAAAAGCACAUGAAUGAUAAAAUGAGGUUGAAUGCUUAAAUGAUAAAAUAGCAAAAAAUCAAAUGUUUUUAGUUUCAAAAUCUAUGAUAUUUUACGGAGGUUUCAAAAACCUAUGAUAUUUUACGAAGGUUUCAUAACCUAUGGUAUUUUAUGGAGGUUUUGAAACCUAUGGCAUUUUACGGAGGUUUUGAAACCUAUGAUAUUUUAUGGAGGUUUCAAAACCUAUGGUAUUUUACGGAGGUUUUGAAACCCAUGAUUUUUACGGAGGUUUUGAAACCUAUGGAAUUUUACGGAGGUUUUGAAACUCAUGGUAUUUUACGAAGGUUCUUAAAUCCAUGGUAUUUAAUGGAGGUUUUGAAAGGCUUUUCCUGAGGUUUAAAAAACCCCAAGGAACACAUUACCCAGGGAUGGUUUAGCGGAGGAAACUACAACCCUGGGUAAAUGACUUAACGGAGGUUUUAACCCUUACUAAUGUAAAAAUAAACUCCCGUUAAAACCAUUUUUUCUUGUAGUACCAAAAGACAUCCAGGAUCCAAGACAUAUGACAAUGGGUACUUGAAGAUGAUGGAACUUACUAUGUUAAGUCAGCAUAUGCCCUAUUAGAAAAUAGAUAAUGACAACAACUUAAAUAUCUAAACGUGUGACAAACUGGUAGAAGCUUUAAAGAUUAUGUUAAGAAUGGUUGGAAAAUCAAGUUUUAGAAGGAAAUGAUAUAUGGAAAAUGAAGAAAAAAAAACUGAAAUCUUUAAAAAAAAAUAUUAACGCUUGGAAUAAGGAGGUGUUUGGGUUGUUGCAUAUAAAAUUAAUUGAUUUUGAACAAUUGAUUAGUAUAUUAGACACAAAAAGACGAACAAGGUCAUCUAAAUGAUGAUGAAAGAAAAAAAGGAAAUCUUUGUUUGCUGAUAUGAAAAAUCUUUGCCUAAAAAUUGAAAUGUUUAAUAGGUAGAAAUCAAUAAUUAAAUGGCUAAAAGGGGAUUUGAAUACACAAUUCUUUCAUAAGAUUGUAAAGUGGAGAUCAAAUAGAAACAUAUUGAAUGGGGUGUUUGAUAUGAAUCCAAUAGCAAAGAAGAGAUGAUUCUUUGACAUUCUAUGGACUCAACUUGAGUUGGAGAUAGCUUAGGCACUUAUAAUAGAAUUGGAUCAAGGUUCUAUGUUUCAAGAACUCACCAAGACUUGCACCAAACACCAAACUCAUAUGGAGGAGCCAUCUUUUGUCAAUUGAACCGAACAAACUAAGUAAAAAUGCAAUUGCACCCAUUGAAAUGCUCAAAAACAGAAAGGCACCGAACAAUUAAGCUAGAAUUGAAGAAGAAACAACUAAGAACAGCAAAAGAAAUAAGAACCGAAACAAAACUAGAAAAUAGGCUGAAAUGCCGAACCAAAAAGGAAGCUAAGCAUGUUUUAGGAAUUGCAUAUGAAUAUGGAGAUGAAAGAAAGAAGAACUUAUGGAGAUGGAUGCUUUGGUUUGUUGUUCACGCCACUUAGAGGAUGAAGACUCCAAGAUGAGUGAGCUAAUGCCGCCACUUGAGAGAACCAAACACACUCAAGAUAAGACAAGGUGAAGGAGAAGCAAGCUCUCACAAAUUCUCUCUCAAAUUGAGUAGAGUUUCUCUAAUACUAAUUUCCAAUCUGAAUUGUACAAGCUAAGCACCUUUAUUUAUAGCCUAAGAGGUGCUGAAAUGAAAAGCUAAUUAAAUUCAAAAUUCCCCCCAAAUGACAUAAAAGUGGCGCCAAUCCUAGAGCAUAAGGAAGGUGUGACUUCCUCUCUUAGUUUGGCACCUCCCUACUACGUCUACACCUCUCUACUAAACACACCCCCCCCCUAAGUUUCCUAAACUAAAGACCAAAAGAUGCUUUUACAAAAGAGGUUUCUUAUGUUUCCCUCUAAGUACCUUCAAACAAAGAUAUUACAAAAAGAGAGAACAACCUCCCAUUAUUUCCUAAAGCUUUGAAUUGACUUCUUGUAAGCCUUUGAGGUGGGCUACCAACUCCUUGAGCAUCUAGCACUCGAGCCUCUUCCUCUUCUUGUCCUUGAGUAUUUGCCUCCAUUUGGUCUUGAACUUGAUCUCCAUCAUACUCCCCGAGUUGGAGAGAAUUCGACCACGAAUUCUGGAGACCUACAGAAAAAGGAGUUAGAUCACUGAUAUUAAAUGUAUGACUACCAAGGUAUGUAUCAGGCAUAUCUAACUCAUAAGCAUUGUCAUUAAUCCUCUUGAGGACUUGAAAAGGUCCAUCACUACGAGGCAUUAGUUUGGACUUUCUUUGAGUAGGAAAGCGAUCCUUCCUCAAAUGAAGCCAAACCCAAUCACCUUCCUCAAAAUGUUUUUCUCCUUUUAUUGGCAAGUUCAACAUACUUGCCAACCUUCUUCUCAAUUCUCAUCUUGAUGUCUUUAUGCAAAGUUUUCACAAAAGAAGCCUUUUCAUCCCCAUCUUUGCACAAGACAUCUCCAAGAACGGGAAUAGGAAGAAGAUCAAGAGGUGUUAAGGGGUUAAACCCAUAGACAACCUCAAAGGAGAAUGUGAGGUGGUAGAAUUUACUACACGGUUAUAUGCAAACUCAACAUGAGGUAGUAAAUUCUCCCACACUCUAGGAUUCCCGGAAAUGAAGCAUCUCAAUAGUUGUCCUAAAGUUCGAUUGACCACUUCGGUUUGACCAUCGGUUUGUAGGUGACAAGUGGUAGAAAAUAAAAGCUUAGUACCAAGCUUACCCCACAAGGUCUUCCAAAAGUGACUCAAGAACUUUGAAUCUCUAUCGGACACAAUAGUUCUAGGAAUCCCAUGCAAACGAACCACUUCUUGAAAGAAGAGGUUUGCAAUAUGACAUGCAUCAUCCACUUUGUGGCAAGGAAUAAAGUGAGCCAUCUUUGAAAAACGAUCCACUACCACAAAAAUGGAAUCCUUUCCCUUUGAUGUCUUGGGUAAUCCUAAGAUGAAAUCCAUAGAUAUGUCAACCCAAGGCAUUGAAGGGAUAGGGAGAGAAGUAUAUAGACCAUGGGGAUGCAUCCUAGAUUUAGCCUUGCGGCAAGCUAUGCAUUUAUCACACAAACUAUGAACAUGUUUAUGCAUAUGAGGCCAAUAGAAAUGUUCAUGCAACACAUCCAAAGUUUUAGCAACCCCAAAGUGACCCAUUAAUCCUCCCUCAUGUGCUUCUCUAACAAGAGAUAAUCUAAUUGAGCAUUGAGGAACACAAAGACGUUUUCCUUUGAAAAGAAAGCCAUCUUGUAUAAAAAAAUCUUUGUGUCCUCCUUUAAGACACUCUUGAUAGAUAGGAGAAAAAUCAAGGUCAUCAUGAUAAAGAUCCUUAAUGUGAUCAAAGCCAAGAUAUUGAGAACCCAAAAGGGUAAUCAAGGCAUAUCUUCUAGAAAGUGCAUCGGCCACAAUGUUUAUUUUGCCUUGCUUGUGUUUGAUCACAUAAGGAAAUUGCUCAAGGAAUUCCACCCACUUAGCAUGCCUCUUGUUAAGUUUGUUUUGGCUUUUAAAAUAUUUAAGAGAUUCAUGAUCACUAUGAAUCACAAACUCUUUAGGAAAAAGAUAAUGUUGCCAAGUAAACAAAGCCCUAACAAGUGCAUAUAACUCUUUAUCAUAAGUGGAAUAGUUGAGAUGACUACCUUUUAAUUUCUCACUAAAAUAAGCUAUGGGGUGGCCCUCUUGAAGGAGAACAGCCCCAAUGCCUAUGCUUGAAGCAUCACACUCAAUCUCAAAGGUUUUAGCAAAAUUAGGAAGGGCUAAGAUGGGAGCAUUAGUCAAUUUUUCUUUCAAAAUAUCAAAAGCUUUUUGUUGUGCUUCUCCCCAUUGAAAAACCACAUCCUUUUUUACUAUAUCAUUGAGUGGUGCGGCUAUUGUACCAAAGUUAGGUACAAAUCUUCUAUAAAAAGAAGCAAGUCCAUGGAAACUUCGGACUUCAUUCAUGGAUUUAGGUGUAGGCCAAUUUUGAAUGGCCACCACCUUAGCUUGAUCCACAUGGACCCCUUUGCUACUCACAACAAACCCUAGGAAUUCUAUAUGAUCAAGUGCAAACAUACAUUUAGCAAGGUUAGCAUACAAAUGUUCCUUCCUAAGGGUUUCUAAAACUUGCCUAACAUGCAACCUAUGGUCUUUCCAAGAUAAGCUAUAAAUGAGUAUAUCAUCAAAAUAAACAACAACAAACUUACCAAUGAAAGGUCUCAAAACAUGAUGCAUGAGGCGCAUGAAAGUACUUGGAGCAUUAGUUAAGCCAAAGGACAUAACUAACCACUCAUAUAAACCAAAGUUGGUCUUAAAAGCCGUCUUCCAUUCAUCACCCGGUUUGAUACGGAUUUGAUUGUAGCCAAUUUUAAGAUCAAUCUUUGUAAAGAUUUUUUAACCAUGCAAUUCAUCCAACAAAUCAUCAAGCCUAGGUAUGGGAUGCCUAUACUUAAUUGUGAUGUUAUUUAUAGCCCUACAAUCCGAACACAUUCUCCAUGUGCCAUCUUUCUAAGGGACAAGGAUAAUAGGCAUAGCACAAGGGCUCAUGCUAUCUUGGACCCAACCUUUUUCAAUCAAAGCCUCUAUUUGUUGGCGAAUUUCCUUGGUUUCACUUGGAUUGGUUUUAUAGGCCGGACGAUUUGGCAAGGAAGAUCCCGGAAUCAAAUCAAUUUGGUGUUCAAUCCCUCUCACAGGUGGAAGGCCUUUUGGAGGAUCUUGAAACACAUCUUGAAACUCCUUUACCAAAUUAUCCAAGUCAUGAGAACUAUCAACAAGUGGUUCUAACUUAAGAGGUCUAGGGAUAGCUAAGAAGAUAGGAUUGUGAGCCACUAUUUCCCUUUGAACCUCAUGCCUAGACACAAGAAGUGUAGGCUUAGGACUUUUUUUAUCUUUUUCACCCUCCCUCUUUUUCUUCAUAAUGAUUUGGUCCUCAUGGACUUCUCUUGGAGAGAGAGAUUUUAAAGUAACCUUGUGACCAUGGAAAUCAAAAGAAAGUUUGUUGGUAAAGCCAUCAUGAAAAACUUUUCUAUCAUAUUGCCAAGGCCUUCCCAAAAGAACAUGGGUUGCUUCCAUGGGCACAACAUCACAUAAUACCUCAUCUUUGUAUUUUCCAAUGGAGAAAUGGAUGAGGACUUGUUUAUUCACAACUAUUUCUCCUACUUCACUAAGCCAUUGCAAUUUGUAGGGCUUUGUAUGAGAGAUAGUAGGCAAUCCAAGUUUAUCUACUACUCUUGUACUAGCCACAUUAGCACAACUACCCCCAUCCACUAUUAAAGAACAAAUGUUGUUUUGAAUAAGACAUCUUGUAUGAAAAAUAUUUUCCCUUUGACUUUCAUCAAAAGGUUGUGAAACUUGUCCAAGAAGUCUUCUCACAACUAACAAAUCUCCUUCAAGUGGACUCUCACUCUCAUGCUCACUAGACGCCCUAGAAGGUGAAGAAUGCCUAGAUGAAUCCGAAUCAUGCUCACUCAUGACAAUGCCAUUAUGCACAAACAUAUUCCUUUUAGAAGGACAAUUAGCCGCAAUGUGACCAUAACCCAUACACUUAAAGCAUUUCUUACUAGACGAUUUAGUUGGGGAUUUAGGCCUAGAAGUAGAAGGCUUAGACUCCUUUAGUUUGAAAGAAGAAUCUUUGGAAGGAAAUUUAUAAAAAGACUUUUUGUUCCUCCAAGAAUUGUUGUAGUAACCAUCAUUGGGAGCAUUUUUUAAAGAAUUUUUCUUAGCAAGUUGGGCUUCCACCUUCAUUGCAAGAUGAACUAAAGAACCCAAUGAUGAAUACUCUUGUAACUUAACGACAUCUUGAAUAUCCUUCCUUAGACCACUCACAAACCUAGCAAUCAUAGCUUCAUCACUUUCUUUCAAAUCAACUUUAAGCAAAAGCGUUUCUAAUUCCUUAUAAUAAGCAUCCACACUUAGCGUGCCUUGUUGAAACCGUUGGAGUCUCAACAUGAGGUCUUUCCUAAAGUGUGGUGGCACAAACCUACGGCGCAUUUGAUCCUUUAAAGAGUCCCAAGAGUCCACGGGAGGACCCUUGUGAUAGAUAAUGUCCUUUACAACACCAUGCCACCAUUUCAUGGCAUAUUCACUAAAUUCUAAGGUGGCUAGCUUAUAUUUGUGCUCAUCUAAGAUCUCAUGGAGGUCAAAAAUCUGUUCACAUUUAGCCUCCCAAUCUAGAUACAAAUUAGGAUCACUAUCCCCAUUGAAACUAGGAACUUUCACCGAAGGUAGCUUGGCCUUUGCAUCACGGUAAUAGCCAUCUUCAUGUUUAUCUUCAUGAGCAUGAGGUGGUCUAUAUCCAUGAAAGUUUGGUGGAGGUCUCCUUCUUCUAUGUUCUUUUUCACGGCCAUGAUCAUUGGAAGAUCCUCUUAAUGAAGGUCUAUGAGAAUGUCGUAAACCAUGGUGAGAAUGAGACGGUCUAGCUUGUUGCACUUCAAGGCUGUGCAAUCUUUCCUCCAACCGUCUAAUAGCUUCAGCUUGUUGUGUAAUAACUUCAUCCUUUUGUGUAAGUGUUCGCUUGGCCUCCUUUAAAUCACCAAGGACAGAAGCUUUUCUAGGAGGAUGCUGGUUGUAAUACUCGUCACUGGAAUAAGCAGCCAUUUGGAAAAGAAAACAGCAAACAACAAAACAGCAAACAAAGUUAAGAAAACAAAGUUAGCUAAAAAAUUGUGGAACCAAUUGCCGAAGUGAAGUGGUCACUGAAAAUCACUCUCAAAGAAAGAAUACUCUCUGCACCAAGCUUAUCUUGAGGCCUUAGUAACCCUCAAAUGAAAGAUGCCAAAGCAAGAGCACACGAUCUUCAAAGCACUUCACCACAAAACCAAUGAAUAAUGAAAGACAAGCAAGAAGAGGUAUAAGCAAUAACAGGCUAUAACAAAAGGAAUACUAGAUGUAUGACAAACUCAAAGAGUAAUGAAUAAAAGACAAGCAAAAAAAAUAAGGUACUCAAUGAAAAAGAAGGCACACAAAAGAUACCUAAGGAAAAGUACUAGAGUAGAUGAAGAAAACAAAAACAAGCUACUGGAAAAUAUUUUUUAUGCAAACUGUGCUUGAUGUUCACUGAUUUAACUAGAAUGAUAUAAAGCGAACUGGAUUAUGAAAUUUUAACCACAGAAACUAUAAGAUCUUAGCUCAACAAUGGCACUGGAAUUACUCAAAAACAGUAAGCCAAUUAAUUGAGAUAAAUUUUUCAAAAUCGCUGCCAGAUUACCAUAUUUUUUUCGGCAGAAUUGCACACUUUUUGUUUUUUAUUUAUCAUUUUUUUUGUACUUUGAAUUUUUUAGUACUUCUUUUUUUCUACUCUUUUAUAACACUUUAAAGAACACAAAUCCAGAAUUUCAGAAAUUUCCAGUGAGUAAAUCAAUUGCAAUAAAUCGAAACAGUAAGCACGUUUUUAGAAAAACAGAGGAAACCUAACAGGAAUGAAAAACAAAAUUAAGAACUAGCAAAGACAUAAUGGAAAUGAUGUAUAGGAACUUGUAUAGGUCUAAAAUACAAGUAUGAACUCAAAACUAAAACAGAAAAUGCACAAAGGAUCAAGAAUCAAACUCAGAAAACUUUAUUACACCAAAACAAGAAUAAAAAAAAAUCAAUAAAAGUACUACAAGAAGUGAUGACAUUCUUGGAAAAACAUGACUAUGACAAAACUUGUAUGGAUUCAAAAAGGAAAAUACACAAACAUAUGAUAGGCACAAUUAAGAAAACAGCUAUAAAACUCAAAAUAAGCCUAAAAACAUAAAUGUAAACACAAGAGUUAUAGAGCUCUUGAAUUAAAGUGCAACACAACUCAAAAAUUAAACAAGAACACACAUAAACUUUAGAUACCACAUGAUGUGAAUCCAAUAGCAAAGAAGAGAUGAUUCUUUGACAUUCUAUGGACUCAACUUGAGUUGGAGAUAGCUUAGGCACUUAUAAUAGAAUUGGAUCAAGGUUCUAUGUUUCAAGAACUCACCAAGACUUGCACCAAACACCAAACUCAUAUGGAGGAGCCAUCUUUUGUCAAUUGAACCGAACAAACUAAGUAAAAAUGCAAUUGCACCCAUUGAAAUGCUCAAAAACAGAAAGGCACCGAACAAUUAAGCUAGAAUUGAAGAAGAAACAACUAAGAACAGCAAAAGAAAUAAGAACCGAAACAAAACUAGAAGAUAGGUUGAAAUGCCGAACCAAAAAGGAAGUUAAGCAUGUUUUAGGAAUUGCAUAUGAAUAUGGAGAUGAAAGAAAGAAGAACUUAUGGAGAUGGAUGCUUUGGUUUGUUGUUCACGCCACUUAGAGGAUGAAGACUCCAAGAUGAGUGAGCUAAUGCCGCCACUUGAGAGAACCAAACACACUCAAGAUAAGACAAGGUGAAGGAGAAGCAAGCUCUCACAAAUUCUCUCUCAAAUUGAGUAGAGUUUCUCUAAUACUAAUUUCCAAUCUGAAUUGUACAAGCUAAGCACCUUUAUUUAUAGCCUAAGAGGUGCUGAAAUGAAAAGCUAAUUAAAUUCAAAAUUCCCCCCAAAUGACAUAAAAGUGGCGCCAAUCCUAGAGCAUGAGGAAGGUGUGACUUCCUCUCUUAGUUUGGCACCUCCCUAUUACGUCUACACCUCUCUACUAAACGCACACCCCCCUAAGUUUCCUAAACUAAAGACCAAAAGAUGCUUUUACAAAAGAGGUUUCUUAUGUUUCCCUCUAAGUACCUUCAAACAAAGAUAUUACAAAAAGAGAGAACAACCUCCCAUUAUUUCCUAAAGCUUUGAAUUGACUUCUUGUAAGCCUUUGAGGUGGGCUACCAACUCCUUGAGCGUCUAGCACUUGAGCCUCUUCCUCUUCUUGUCCUUGAGUAUUUGCCUCCAUUUGGUCUUGAACUUGAUCUUCAUUAGUGUUUGUAGGGAAUAAGUGGUGCAGGGAACCAUCAAGGAUAAAGGAGGAAGUUCUAAGAUUUUACAAGGAAAGAUUCAUAGGUUUAAGAGAUAUUCAAAUGUUUUUAGAUAAUGUUUUUUUUUCCUGUAAUUAGCAGUGAGGAUAAUGAGGCUUUGUUAAAGACAAUCUCUAUGGAAGAAAUGAAAUCGGCGGUGUGGGACUGUGAUAGUAAUAAAUGUCCUGAACCAGAUGGUUUUAAUUUAAGUUUUUUUAAAGAAUUUUGGAAGAUUAUAAAUAUGAAAUUAUAUAGAGUUGUAAGAUGUUUUCAUAAAUGGGGGAGAAGGCCAAAAGGAUGUAAUGCACCUUUCAUCACAUAUAUUCCCAAAAUUGCUAAAUCUGCUAGAUUAGAGGAUUUUAUACCAAUCUCCCUAGUUGGCAAUUUUUACAAAACCAUAGCAAAACUUUUAGCUAAAAGGCUAUAGAAAAUCAUGCAUAUCAUCAUUGAUCACAAACAAUCAACCUUCAUACAAUGUAGGGGUAUCAUUGAUAGUAUAAUUGUGGCAAAUGAAGUUAUAGAGGAGGUAAGAAAGAAGAAGAGUAAGUGUAUCAUUGUUAAGGCUAACUUUGAGAAAGCUUACGACUCUGUGGAUUGGAAUUUUCUAUUUUAUAUGCUACAAAGGAUGAGAUUUGGAAACACAUGGAUUAAAUGGAUCAAUAUUUUCCUAGAUUCAUCAUCUAUAUCCAUACUUGUUAAUGGCAGCCCUUCGAAGUCCUACAAAGGAUCUAAGACAAAGUGAUCAUCUAGCACCAUCAUUAUUUCUUAUACUGGUCUAAGGAUUGGUAGGAGCCAUAGGAGUGGCCCAACAAAAAGGAUUCUAUUAUGGGAUUAAAGUGGGAAAAGAUCAGGUUGAGGUUAGUAUGUUACAGUUUGUGGAUGAUACUAUCUUUUUCUGUGAGGAUAACGUGAAGAAUAUCACACCAAUUAAAUGUGCCCUGAUAUGUUUUGAACUUGUGUAUGGGUUGAAGGUGAAUUUUAGAAAAAGUAAAAUCGCAAGUAUAGGUGUACAAAACACCGAAAUCCUAAAAUACUAUACAAUUCUAUAUUGUAAUAAAAUGGAAGUGCCCUUUAAAUAUCUCGAGGUUUCUAUGGGUGAUAAUCAUAGGAUAAAAGUGUUUUGGAAUGACAUGAUUCUAAAAAUCAAAAGUAAGCUUACCACUUGGAAAUGAAAACAUAUAUCUUUUUCUGGAAGAGUCACUCUGAUAAAAUAUGUCAUCUCUACUAUCCCUUUAUAUUACUUGUCUCUUUUCAAAAUUCCCACAGUAGUUGGGAAGUUAAUCACAAUAUUACAAAGAGAUUUUUUAUGGGGAUGGGGAAGUGAUAGAAGGAAAAUAGCUUGGGCUAAAUGGAAUUUCCUAUGUCAAUCCAAAUCAGAGAUUUGGAUGGAGGACUAGGAAUUAAGGAUAAAAAUACUUUUAAUAUGGCUCUUCUUGGGAAAUGGAAAUGGAGACUUGGUUGUGAAAAAUCAGGGCUUUGGAAACAGGAAUUGGAAUCUAAAUAUGGCUCUUGGAGAGGGUUGGAUGUCAGUAUUGUGUCAAAUAUUGAAUCUUGGUGGUGGAGAGAUAUCAAGAAGGUUUGUGGAGUAAACUCAAAUUCCUAGUUUGAUAAUCAGAGAAGGUGGAAGGUAGGUGCAAGGAGUAAUAUUUUGUUUUGGACAGAUUGUGGGGUAGGGAAUGAUACCCUUAAAAAUAGAUAUCCCAAAAAAAUUUCACAUUCAGUACUUAAAGAUGGAGUUGUAGAUAAAUAUGGGCUAUGACAUGAGAACCAGUGGGUAUGGAAAAUAGAAUGGAGAAGAGAGUGAUUUUCAUGAGAAAAUGAAAUUAUAAAUGCCUUUAUGGAUGAAUUGAAGACUGUUAAAAUAUAUGCUUGUAGAAAUGAUGAAUGGAUGUAGCUAGGUGAUAUCUCAAAUUCUUUCACUGUUAAUUAUGCUUUUAAAAUCAUUUUGCAUAAAAAUAUAUUGCAGUCACAUCUAUCUUCUGCAUUUAACUUUGAUUUUUUCUGGAGUUUAAAAGCUCUCCCAUCAGCACAUUAUUUUUUUCUGGCAUGUUCUAACUAGGAUAAUUACAACUUAUGAUAAUUUAAUACAUAGAGGAAUUUAGUCUAGAAGGGGGAUGUGUGUCAUGUGUGGGUCUGAGCUAGAAAUAGUAAAUCAUAUUUUCUUUACAUGUAAAGUGACUUUUAAAGUGUGGUAUAUGUCUCAUGUGUGGGCUGGUAGAGUUUUUGUACAUUGUGAUAAUGCUACACAACAUUCUAAUCAAAUAGAUUUUAUGGAUCUGAACUACUUGGAAAUAGCGUCAGGAAAUGUAUGUUGAUAGUCAUUAUUUGGGGAAUUUGGAAUAAUAGAAAUAGGAUAAUUUUUAAUAAUGGUAGAUCUUGUUGAAAUUUUUGUUAUGGCCCAAGUAAAGGCUUAUGUUGAUAGUCAUUAUUUAGGGAAUUUGGAAUAAUAGAAAUAGGAUAAUUUUUAAUAAUGGUAGAUCUUGUUGAAAUUUUUGUUAUGGCCCAAGUAAAGGCAUGAGCAUGGGUAACUUAUAAAUUCCCAAAGUUAAACUUCUAUUAUUCUGAUUGGUGUAUUAAUGUAUCUGAAUGCUUAAAAUCACUACCUUGAUGGUUAACAAUCUUCCUUUUCUAUUUUGUUGGUUUCUAAUUAGGAUGGGAGGACAUUUUUGUUGGAUAUAACUAUAGCCAUAACUACUGCGUCUGGAAUAGAAAGGUCUUCAGUAAUGUUUUUCAGCAGGGGGAGGAUCUUCAGAAGAGAAUACAAGAGCUAGAUGCAAAGGAUUAUGAGAGUGGGCUGAAUGAGGUAGGAAGGGAGGAGAGGAAGUGGUUAUUAUCAGAGCAGAGACAAAACAAUCAAAGUCAAGAAGUUAUUUUACAGCAGAAGGCUCGUCUUAGAUGGUUGAAGCAGGGGACUUGAGUAGUAAGUAUUUUCACGCGGUCAUUAAAUGGAGAAGAGUAAGGAAUGGUUUGAGAAGGGUGUGGCGAAGGAAAAGGUCAGAGAUUACUAUAAAGAAAUGUUUUUUUGGAGAAGCAGGUCAACAUGUCAAGCUAGAUAAUGCAAGGUUCAAUAGAAUUACAGAAGAAGACAACGUUUUGUUAGUAGGAAGGAAAAUGGAAGAGGAAGUGAAAAGGGUAGUGUGGAGUUGAGAUAGUGAUAAAAGCCCGAGCCCUAAUGGCUUCAACUUCGGGUUCAUUAAUUUUUGAUGGGAUGAGAUUAAGGUUGACGUUAUAAGAGCAAUCCACAAUUUUGAGGAAGAUGGAAGAUGGCCAAGGGGGAUGAAUGCCUCUUUUAUAUCUUUGAUUCCUAAAGUCGAUAACCCACAACAACUGAAUAAUUUUAGACCAAUCUCCCUGGUUGGAUGUUUAUACAAGAUUAUGGCAAAAAUCUUGCCUUUGAGGUUGAAGAAAGUGUUACAUAGGGUCAUAGAUGUUAGACAAUCUGCGUUUUUGGAAGGUAGGGGGUUAUGGAUAGUGUACUAGUAGUAAAUGAAGUUUUGGAAGAAGUCCAAAGAAGAAAGAGCAGUUGUGUGUUUUUCAAGGUUGAUCAUGAGAAGACGUACAACUAUGUUGCUUGGGAGUUUAUUUAGUAUAUGCUGAAAAGGCUAAAAUCAGAUUUAAAAAUCUGGAUUAGACAUUCUUUUGGGAAUGUAAAUCUGGUGGGAGAGGCGCUUCAAAAGAAAAUUCAAGAUCUGGAUAGUCGUAAUGAUGAGGGUACUUUAGAUGCGGCAGGUAGGGAGGAGAGGAACCACUUACUGACUGAACAAAUAGGAACUUAUUUAAACAAGAAGCUGUUUUUCAUUAGAAAGCACGCCUCAAAUGGUUGAAACAAGGCGAUCUAAACACAAAGUACUUCCAUUCGGUUGUAAACUGGAGAAGGGUGAAGAAUAGUUUUAAUGGUCUCUUUGUUAAUAGUGCUUGGUGUGAGGAUAAGGAAGUAAUUAAGGACAAGGUUAGAGAUUUUUUCAAGACCAAAUUUGACCGAAUCGAAGGGCCUCAAGUUAGGUUAUAUAAUGUUUAGUUUAAUUCUAUUUUUGGGGUUGAUAAUGAUACGUUGGUAGGAUCUUUUUCUGAAGAAGAAAUUAAGAAUGCAGUUUGGAGCUGUGAUAACCCGAAAAGCCCUGGUUCAGACGGAUUUAAUUUCGGGUUCAUUAAAUUUAGUUGGGAUGUUAUUAAGAAGGAUAUCAUCUUGGCUGUGAACGAUUUUGCGAAAUACGGUAAAUAGCUUAGGGGUACAAAUGCUUCUUUUAUCUACUUGGUUCCUAAGUCAUAUUACCUUCAACAACUUGGUGAUUUUAGACCCAUUUCUCUGGUCGAAAGCUUAUAUAAAAUUAUUAUAAAGCUUUUAUCUUUAAGGUUGAAAAAGGUGAUAAGUAAAGUUGUUGACUUAAGACAAUCUGCUUUUCUUGAAGGUCGAAGGUUAAUGGAUAGUGUUCUUGUGGCCAAUGAGGUACUUGAGGAAGUAAAGAGGGAAGAAAAGUCUUGCGUUUUUUUCAAGGUGGACUAUGAGAAGGCGUAUGAUUCUGUGAAGUGGGAGUUUAUUUAUUACAUGUUAGGCAGGUUGGGUUUUUGUGAUAAGUGGAUUCGGUGGAUUAAAGCUUGUUUGGAUUCUACUACAGUUUUUGUUAUAGUUAAUGGAAGUCAGAUUAAGGAAUUCUCUCCUUUGAACGGCUAGAGACAAGGUGAUCCUCUUGCCUCAUUUUUCGUUUCUUAUAACAGCUGAAAGAUUGACUAGAGUUUCUAGAAGAGCUUAUGAGACUAAGUAUUUAGAGGGUAUAGAGAUUGGGAGCAAGAAGGUCAGGGUAAUAUGCUUCAAUAUGCAGAUAAUACACUUUUUUUUUGUCAGGCGAAUAUUAAAAGUGUGUUAAUCAUUAAGGUUAUUCUAAGUUGUUUUGAGUUGGCUUCUAGUUUAAAGGUGAAUUUCUUGAAAAGUAGCAUUGGAGGAGUGGGGGUUUAUUUGUUUGCGAUUCAGGGUUUUAUAACUAUACUUAAUUGUGAUGUGAUGAAAACACCUUUCAAGUAUCUAGGUAUGCCGAUAGGGGCGUCAUAAGAGGGAAGUCUUUUGGGAUGGCGUGAUUGAAAGAAUUAAAUCUAGAUUGGGAAAAUGAAAAGGUCGUUUCAUUUCUUUGACUAGGAGAAUCUGCUUGAUAAAGUUUCUUUUCUCAUCUAUCCCGUUUUUUUAUAUGUCCAUGUUUAAGGUACCUUCAGUAGUGUUGAAAUAAUUGUGAAUCUUCAGAGGAAUUUCUUAUGGGGUUGGGGUUUGGAAGGAAGGAAGAUCGCGUGGGCCUCUUGGGAUAAGGUGUGUGAGCCUCGAGAAGCUGGCGGACUUGGUAUUAUUAACAUCAAGCUUUUUAAUUUGGCCUUAUUAAGUAAAUGGAUUUGGCGGUUGGGUUCUAACAAGGGUGGUUUGUGGAAGGAGGUCUUAGAGUUUAAAUACGGAGGAUGGAGAAGCUUGAAAAAGGUUGGGUUAAACAACAAAGAUUCCCUUUCGUGGACAGAUUUGAAGGCGAUCUGGAAGUUAGAGGACUGGGAAGGAGUUUUGAAGAUCGCUUUGUUUGGGAAGUUGGUAAUGGGAAAUCUAUUAAGUUUUGGGAGGACUGAUGGGUGGGUAAUGAAGAACUAAAGAGUAAAUUCCCAAGGCUUUUCUCUCUUAGUGUUUCUAAAGAAGCUUCGUUGGAUUGUUGCGAAACUUGGGUUAAUAGUGGGUGGGAGUGGGAUUUGGUUUGGAGAAGGAUCAUUUUUGUCUUGGAGAAGAAUCAAGUCAAUCAGCUCUUAGAGGUGGUGCAAGGCUCUGUGCUUGAUUUGGAAAAGGUUGAUAAGUGGGCUUCGAAAGAUGUCACAAGUUUAGAGUUUUCGGUUAAGUUUGCCUAUGUUUCUUUAAAAGGAGUAUCUGAAGGGGAACAUAUGCAAUUAUUUAAGGCUUUUUGGAGGAUUAAAGUUCUGCCUUCAACCCAUUUUGUUGUGUGAAGGCUAUUGGAAAACAAGAUCGCAACCAAAGCUAAUUUGGUCAGUCAUGGGACUGCGGUUGAAAAUAUUAUGUGUAGCAUGUGCAGGGGAAAAGAGUAAACUUCUUCUCAUCUAUUUUUUGGUUUUCGAUUCGCUUGGUUAGUGUGGAAUCUCUGUUAUGUGUGGCUAGGGUUGAAUUCGGCUGAUCCUUUUAACCUUCAUUCCCAUUUCUUGUAGUUUAACCUGUGUAAUGCACCUAAUUCUGUUGAUUUGGUCUUGGAGAAUGUUUGGAUUGCAGUGGUUAACAAGAUCUGGUGUGUUAGGAACAAGAUCAUCUUUAGAGGAGGAGUGGCAGAUCAUUCAGAGACUUUCUCCUUGGGUCAAUUGAAUGUUUGGUCUUGGAUUUCUUCUAAAAUUCCAUCUGCUUGUUUUUCCUAUUCAGAUUGGUAUCUUGAACCUAUGGUUUGCCUAAAUUCGAUUUAGAUUUCGUUCAAGCUUAUUGGUUUUCUGGUAUUAGGGAUUCUUGCUCUAGAGUAGUUUGGUUAGUGUUAGAGUAGUUUAGUUAGUAUUCAGUUGGCUGGUUGUAUUUGGUGAGUUGUACACAGAUUGAUUCAUUCAUGAAGUUAUCCAUAUUUAUUUAUUUAUUAUUGCUAAUAAAAAAAAGUAAUAAAAAAAAAGGAAAACAAGGUUUCAACUUCUACCUCUUUUUCUUAAUAGAUCAUCAACAUGUAAACUCUAUUAAGUAUAAUUCUAACAUUAGCCUUCUCUUUCCUUCCCAUAAAAGGCAGUGCUUUAAAAGGGCUUUAAAAUGUCAUCCUCCAUUCCUUAAAAAAAUUAUAAAUUAAGAUUCAAUAGUAAAAUGUGCUCCAAUCACUAAAAACUUAUUAAAUAAUAAAUAAUUUAAAAAUAAAAAUAAUUAAUCAUUAUAUUGAUUAAAUUAUAUACUAUUUUAUAAAUUAAAAAAUUAUAAAUAUUUAAAAUAGUUUUUAAAUUGGUAUUCAAUUUUAACUACCAAUAUUUUAGUUAUUAACUAUUUUAAAUUAUAAAUUAAUCAAUAACUUGAUUAAAAACUAUCCUUUUUUUCUUACACAGUAAUAAUCUGAUAAUUAAAAAUUAAUUUAUAAUAUAAAGUGUUAAUAACUAAAAUCUUAAUAACUAAUAUUUGAUAUCAAUUUAAAAUUAUUUUAUAAAUUUUUAUUAAUAAUAAAAAAUAUUUUAAAUAUUGAUAAUUUUAAAUUUAUAAAAUAAUAUUUAACUUAAUUAAUAUAAUGAUUAAUUAUUUUUUUAAGAUAUAUUUUUUUUUCAAUAUUAAAAGAAGUUAUAGAAGUUUUGAUGGCAAUCUCAUUGUAUUAUUAUAAGUUGAAUUUCUUAUGCAUGGCUAAAUUUUUUUCAACUCAACUAUGUAUAGGUAGUAGAUUUGAUCGCAACAUAAAAUAAAGUCAACUAAUAAUAAAUAGCCACCAUAACUAUUUUAGAAAAUUAAGAACCACCUUUGUUAUUGAAGCAUAAAAUUGAAGCUAAGUCCAUUAGCCUAAGUUUUAGUGAGAUAUUUAAACGCUGAAAAAAAAGUGGUUUGGCACACCAAGCAGUCGAAAAUGUAAAAAAUUCAAUGCAUAAUUAAAAUAUGGUCCUUGAUGGUGAGGAAGAGUAAAACAAAUUUCAGCAAAGAUGUUGUGAUAAUAUAUAUAUAUAUAUAACAUUUGGAAGUUCACUUUAUGGAUGGAAGAAUAACUCAAUUCUGCGUCUGCACUUUCUCUGCACAAGAUGAACAAAACACCUAAAGAAGAAGCUGAGAUCCAAAGAAAAGAAUACAACGAUAACUUUGCAGGAAGUUCUGAGGAACGUGCCAAAAAGGUGAGUAUUAUUAACACAGGUGCAACUUUUAAUGGUGAUGGUAAUGGCUCUCACUACGAAAAUUGUUGUAUUGAUAUGAAGUCGGAUUUUAGGUCGUCACCCUCUCCUACGAAGGUGCAAAGGUCCCCAAGUUGAAGCAAUAGAUUUAUCAGAAUCUGUGUGCAUGGUGGCUUACAUAGUACAUCUUACACAAUUUUAUAUAGUCAAAUGCUGUUUAGGCUCAGACCUGAUUUUAUAUAUAUUUGUGAAAGUUAACACAAUAUCUAUUUUAUAGUUUCUAAUUGAUGAAUAAGGGUUGAAACACGAAGUGUUACUAUAUUUAUUUAUUUAUUUUGCCAAUAAAAAAAUUCUGAAAAAAAUGUAACUUUAAUUCAUUUAUUAAAAAAAAUUAUUAAAUAGAAAUCAAUUUUAG